rnacentral:tRNA from 4 species
GGGGGUAUAGCUCAGUGGGAGAGCACCUGCCUUGCACGCAGGGGGCCGUCGGUUCGAAUCCGACUACCUCCACCA